UAUCUCCUACCUUAGGACUUGUUCUUAGCUACUAGGGACCCUUUGCACUAGGACUUAGCCAAGUCUCAAUCUCCAGUUCUACCUCUGUGUCACCUCCUAGGUCAGCAUUGAGCUUAAAAGAAGGAUAUGACUGUCCCAUUUUGACGAGGAUUCACAUAUAGUUACUUGGAAGGCUAGUUUUGUUGUUUUUUUAAUUGCCCAGGUGGGUGGCAAUAAAAAAGACACUUGCACCACAACCAAUCUUCUAAUCAGCAGUCUCAAGUGUCAAGUUCCCCACACUUGACUGACUCACAGCUCUUGGAGGUGAG
rnacentral:lncRNA from 1 species